UUUUUCUCUGAGUCAUCUUUAAGGAGCCUGCGCCUGCUGACACACAGACCACUAGCCAGCCGGUCUGCACAACGGCCUGCAGACUUUCUGCUCACUCCAUUAGACCCUAGACAGAGAGCAGGAGCCUACACUCAGCCCUCAGGAGCUGAAUGGAGGCAACGGCAGGGACUAGUCUAAUUGACGGUACUGGCAUAAUGACAACUUCGGCCAUACUGUGGAACAAUUUAUUAUGCAUUAUAAGAGCACCACAGAGUAUACAGUAUGACAUACUUGUGCACGCCAUUUUAAUUUUAAGACAACCUGUGAGUUAUGGCUGCAGUGUGACUACUGUUAAAAGUCUCUGCCUUGACUUCCACGGAAUGAUGUGCUACAGCCUGGAAUUGUCUGUCAGGUCUGGAGAGAGACAAUUGCCAGGAGCUGAGGGGUCUGGGCGCCCCACAACUGCAUUCCAACUUCCUUUUUAGAUGCAGUUUUCACGAUAUCGCUCACACAUUGGUUUCCAUGGACACCGAGACCUGAUGCCUCCUUGUCGCAGCUGAGGAGGUCCUUCCUGUCUGGCUCACAUUCUCCACCACACACAGCUGACUUCUUCCUGCUGCUACAACCUCGAUGAACACAACUUCACCCUAAUACUUACUUGUUUUACGCAUCAUGAAAUAAGUGCUUUCCAUAAAGUCCCCACAAUAUCAUUUACAGUUGUAAAAAUAUUGUAUUUUUGUGAGACAUGACUCAUUGAGGCUUAGAUUGAGAAUAAUUAAAAUCUGUACAUUGAGGGCGUGAACUGUGGUAUCAGUUUGCAUUUUGCAUUAGUGGAAGAUAGGUGGGAAAAUUAACACUGAAAUGAAAAGAAAUUCAUGGAGUAUGAAGAAGGCAUGAUUGGCUAUUUUAGUUAGCUCUCAUGCCACUGUGACAACAUGUCCA
rnacentral:lncRNA from 1 species